AAAGUUCCAAUCAGGUCCACACUUGUCAUCAAUGCCUGCUCUAAGCACCACCCCUGUUAAGAUGUUGUAUGUGAAAGAGUUGCCCGCCCAAAUAAAACACUGUAGCCAGAAAAGGCUGCACCUAAACUCCUCCCCCACCCUGCCCCCUAUGGACUUGAUUGUAAUUCUGUAUCCCCAUCCUUAAGGACCUGUGCGCCAAUGAGAUAUCUGUGCAUCUCUAAUGAAGUUAGGGUGCUGCCCUAAGCUUAGGCUAUUUAGAUCUCCCACGCCACGUGUCCGAGGGAGUUCGCCGGAGGAGUUUGCCAGAGAGAGUUCGCCAGAAAGAGAGAGACCCAGAUUUCAGCGGCCAGCGCCAGCCAGCGCGCCAGUCUCCACUCCCCGUGUUCCCGGAGAGACCACAGCCCGGCCCCGGGCUCCGUGAGAGAUGCCCGGGGCCGGCGCCGCCGGCGGCGGGGGCCCCCUCCCCGCAUUCCCGGAAUAAAGCCACCGCUGACCACUACUUUUACGGCCGUCCACUCCGCUCCAUUCCUCCCGCGGACUUCUCCUCUCCUCCCCCAUCUCCCAGACCUAACAGAUGGUGCCCUGUGACUCGGCGGCAGAAUUCUGCCUUGCCACCUCAACGUCACCCUGAUAAAAUACCAUCUCAAAACCAAAGUCACCUUCCUAUCUACCUCACCUGGGUCCUUAAAUAUAAUAGUGCCAUGUCUCCUAAUAACAUUAUGUCUCUUUGUUUUUCCAGUCUGACAUACAUACAUUCACCAGUGAAGUUGUCCUGGCUAAAACACCUGGCAUCAGUGUCUACCUGGGCAUCAACCUUCAUCCCGUCAAACUCCCCUAGACCCCAAUACAGCGCCCUCAGCCAGCAGGAAGUAGUUACAGAGAGAGAUCUUCGCCCCUUUUCCUAAUAACCAGAAGACGGGAUAUGAAAGAGUUGCCCGCCCAAAUAAAACACUGUAGCCAGAAAAGGCUGCACCUAAACUCCUCCCCCACCCUGCCCCCUAUGGACUUGAUUGUAAUUCUGUAUCCCCAUCCUUAAGGACCUGUGCGCCAAUGAGAUAUCUGUGCAUCUCUAAUGAAGUUAGGGUGCUGCCCUAAGCUUAGGCUAUUUAGAUCUCCCACGCCACGUGUCCGAGGGAGUUCGCCGGAGGAGUUUGCCAGAGAGAGUUCGCCAGAAAGAGAGAGACCCAGAUUUCAGCGGCCAGCACCAGCCAGCGCGUCAGUCUUCCACUCCCCCGUGUUCCCCGGAGAGACCACAGCUCGGCCCCGCGCUCCGUGAGAGAUGCCCGGGGCGGGCGCCGCCGCCGGCGGCGGGGGGGCCCCCUCCCCGCAUUCCCGGAAUAAAGCCACCGCUGACCACUACUUUUACGGCCGUCCACUCCGCUCCAUUCCUCCCGCGGACUUCUCCUCUCCUCCCCCAUCUCCCAGACCUAACAGUAUGUACAUACCAUACCCCAUGUUCUGGUCAGAGGAAGCUAGACCAUCUAUGGUCAUGGAUUCCUCUCCAUGUCCUUGGAAUAAAGGCUACUUCUUACUUUAUAUUGUCUCUUUCAUU
rnacentral:lncRNA from 1 species